GGGGGCUCCGGGCUCCAGAGUGGAGGCUGGGAAGGAAGGGAGGGGAUGGUAGGUGGUGGGUGACCGCGGCAGUGUCUGCGAUCCAUGUGACACCCCUGUCCUGGUCCAGGUACGGAGCUCGGUGUCCAGGGCCAGCUCCCCCCAACACAAAUGCAGACUCCCACGCCUGGCGACCCCCUGUGCCUCCCUUCUGCACCUCGAGGAGGCUCACACGCGAGUGGGGACACCUCCGCCUGCCCCUGCGCUCUGUCCACUCUCCCCCAGACGCAAUGACCUCUGCACGCAGGGCUGCAGGCCCUGGAGGGGGCUCCCCUGGGGACCCGGAGCCGGUGGACCAGGCACACAGUCUGCAGCAGGAUUUCCUGAAGGCUCGCGGCCUCCAAAGCCUGGGGAGGGGCUCAGCCCUCAGGCCAGGGCGGGCCUCCGAGGUGCGGCCGGCAGGCAGGCGCCUCCACCCGGGCUCCGGAUCCGGCCCCGGCCAAAGUCAAGAGAGGAGAGAGGUCCAGGUCCCAGACGGCUCAGCCACCAAGUCAGUUUACUGAGCCACGAGCUGCAGAUGGGAGAGAAAGAAGGCACAGAAAAUAAAAUAUCCGACUUUUUCUUUUCAUGAUCUUCCUCAAAAAUAUAGUGUAGCUACUAUUUCCCUAGCAUUUCUAUUGCAUUAGGUAUUAUGAGUAGUGGAGAGAUGAUUUAGGGUGGGAGUAUUCCAUAGAUUAUAUGCAAAUAAUAUGUUUGCAAAAUAUAUUAUAUGCAAAUAAUAUAUAUAUAAAAUAUAUAUUUGCAGACCAUUUUACGUAAGGAAUCUGAGCAUCCACAGAUUUCAAUAUCCUCAGAGGGUCCUGGAACCACCCCCUUUGAAUAUCAAGGGAAGACUACACAGAUCGAAGCAGCCCUUCUACCUCUGCCUGAAAAGUGAGUCUUCCUUUGCCUGAAGAAACUCUAAUGGUCUUCCCAAGGUCAGAGAGUCUAGUGGCAACGGACACCAUUGAGCUGGAAUUUCUAAAUGCACUGGGCCUGAUGGGAGCCCGAGUGGCGGGGAUCCAAGUAGCAUUGGUAUGCAGGAGAUGAGGUGAGCAUGGUUACCGUGGGGAGGCCCAGUCAGCCGUGGUGAGAGUCUGACUCUCAGAGGUCUGGGCAUUUGCUACUUUCUCACGGUAUCCAUAGAAAUGAAAGAGGUGUGAGCCUGCUCAAGUCCUGCUUGAUCUGAUGGGUGAGUUCUGGAUCCAGAGGACAGAGGUGUGACCUAAACGACCGAGGCAGGGUGUCCUAGCCCCUCUGUCACUUCCCAUACUUGAGUCCUUGAAGGAAGGAGAGGCAGAGUCUCCAUGAGGAAGGAUGUUUUACCGCCAAACUUUAUGCUGUUAAUCUUCCUCUUAAACUUCUCCAGAUACAAGUGACCAUUUGCAAAGUGACUAUGCUUUGGGGGAAAGGGAAAUAAUCACUUUCCGGAGAUUACUGGACACUGGGCUUAAACUGACCUUCUUUCCUAGAGACCCAAAAUGUCACUGCCGUUCUCCGGCAGGGACUUUGGCGGUCAGUGGACGAUGGAGUUGUAGGAAGUUUUGUCUCACCGAGGGACUGACAGCUCCCUGAAUGCAUCCGACAGCUAUUUCCUCAACUCUGCGAUGAAUCCUUGGAAUAGACAUCUUGAGCAACUGGAGGAAUUCCAACUUGGUUCCCCGACUCAGAGACUGGGGAAGAGUAUGGUAGGAAAAGCCAAGUGGAAGCCACCAGAACUCUCUCUACCCCUGAAAAUAAUCACGAAAAGCAAUGCCACAUUCCCAACAGGAGGGCAGAGAUUGGGGCCACCAUGACAGACUUGGCAGGUGCAGGGGUGUGGCAAGUCCCCUUACUUCCCCAUUCAACUCACCUUUUGGGCACAUAAAGAAAUCUGAUGAAUCUUGAAGAGUGAUGUUGGACCAUUGUAAACUUAAUUGGAGGGUGACUCCACUUUCUCCUGCUAUUCCGAGUGGGUUGUGAGCGCUGCAGUAAUCAACGCAUCUCCCGGCACCUGCAUCAAGUUAUUGAUCUGGAAAAUUCUUUUCUACUUAUACUUAUUAGACCAUUCGAAGUCACUUGUUUUCAGCCAGCAAAACCAGCAACACGCCUUCGCGGUCCCACCUCAGGGUGGCAUCAGUGCUCUGGCCCUAUGUCAUAGCAGCAUCUGGAUUGACCUUCUUUCCCAUGGGACGUCACGCUGGUCUGUUAGAUUGAUGAUACUGUCGUGAUUGGAGCUGAUGAACAAGACGUAGGAACUACAGCAGCCACGAUGGUAAGAUCCUUCCACACUGGAGGGGAGAAAUAAAUCGCACAGAAUUUUAGGGGCCUGUAACUUCAGCAAAAGUUCUUGGGGUCCAGUGAUCUGAGGCAGGUGGAGAGCCCUCCCUAAGUGAAGGAAAUGUUGCUGAUGCUAAGAGAGAGGCCCAGUGUCUGUGGGGCCCUUUGGAUUCUGCAGGCAACAUACAGCUACUUUGGGAGCCCUGCUGGGACUCAUUUACCAAGUGACCCCAAAGGCAGUCAGUUUGGGAUGGGACCCGGAACAAGAGAAAGCCCCAUGUCAGCUGGGGACCGAGACAAUAGAGCUUGUACUGUGGCGGAUGGGGAGGCUGUUUGCAUACCCUGGAAGGCCUUGCAGGUCAACCCCACUGUGGACCUCUAGAACAUGGGGGGCCCCGUACCCUUCUUUGAAAAUACUCUGCUGUUGAGAAAGAGCAUUUGGCUUUCUCCUGGGCCUUAGCAGAGACCGAAGCUGGACUCUGGGCAACCAAGAUACCAUGUGGCCUGAGCUACCCAUCAUGCCCUGGUGUUGUCUCACCCAACAGCCACGAACUGGGUGAGCAGCAAGUACGCCAGCACUCCAAGGUCAAAUGGAGCCGGUGUCACCUAGACUGGGAGCAGGUGGGUCCUGAAGGUAAGUUGCAGGAGAAGUGGUUCAUGUUCAUUCCUUUCCACGGCCUCUGUCUCAAAUGACACACUCUCAGCAGUUCCCUAGGACCAGCUGUCACAGGAAGAAAACCUUAGGAUGGUUCCCACAGAGUCCUGUGUGAUCCGCAGGCAUCACACACGGGUGGGCAGCUGCAGCCUGAUGGCUUUGUCCCAGGACACCCCCGAAGGAAGGAGUGUUUCCUGAUCAGCCGUGCAUCUGGUGGCACUAUGACUUGGAGGAAAGAUGUCCACAAGUGUGGGUCUGCAUCCGUCAUGCGCUGGCCGGGUGUUCAGGUGCCCGAAGGAACUGACUGACAACUGGUCACUAGCGAGCCUGGGACAGGGGAAUGCAGACGGCCUGCCCCACGGGAAGAGGAUAUUUGCGUCCUGUGAAUGCACACCAGAGAGCCACUUCAGGAAAUAAGAUCUUCAUGGUCAGGUGGACGGGAUGACCCAUCCCCUGGGUCUCCUUCAGCCUCUUUCCCCAGCCAUGGUCCUCGCCCAGUGGGAUCACGAGCGUCAUAGCGUGGUGACCACGAAGAGGAUCCUGUGUGGGUCACAGUAAGGACCGAAGCUGAUCUGACUGCCCUGACUGCUGGAUGCCCAGACUUCCAACAGAAGUGACCCGCACUGAGUCCUGAUACGGCUCAUUGCUCAGGACCAUCCCCAAGUGUCCUGAUGGCAGGUCAGUUGCAUUGAACAGCUUGUAUCAUGGAAAGGACAAAACCUUUAUUUUAUCUUAUUUUUAUCAGCUUUAUUGUAAUGUAAUUCACACGCCAUACAAUUCACAUUUAAAGUCAAUGCCUUUAACGAUGUGUGCAAUGAUCAUCAUAAUCAAUUUUAAAACAUUUCCAUCAUCCCCAUGCCCUAUAAUUACCCAUCUCCCUGUUCCCUCAUUUCCCUCUAAGCAUAAGCAGUCAUUAAUCUCCUCCCUGUGUCUAGAUUUGCCUAUUCUGGACAUUUCAUAUAAUCUUUGACCUUUUGUGAUUGGCUCCUUUCACUGGGCAUAAUGUUUUCAAGGUCCCUCUGUGAGGUUGAAUGUAUUGGUAGUAUAUUCCUUUUUGUGUGUGUGUGUGUGGUACUGGGGAUUGAACCCAGGUCCCUGUGCAGGCCAGGCAAGCACUCUACCAACUGAGCUAUAUCCCCAGCCCCACAUUCCUUUUUAUAGUUUAAUAAUAUUCCACUGUAAGGUUUUAGUGUAUUUCAUUUAUGCAUUCAUCAGUUGAUGGAUAUUUGGGGAUGGAUAUUUUGCCUCUUGGUUAUUACGAACAAUAAUGCAAUACACAUUCAUGCACAA